AGCUAAAUGCGGAAGAGAUAAGUGCUGAAAGCAUCUAAGCACGAAACUUGCCCCGAGAUGAGUUCUCCCUGASWCYUURAGWSUCCUGAAGGAACGUUGAAGACGACGACGUUGAUAGGCCGGGUGUGUAAGCGCAGCGAUGCGUUGAGCUAACCGGUACUAAUGAACCGUGAGGCUUAACCUUACAACGCCGAAG
rnacentral:rRNA from 1 species